AUUGAACGCUGGCGGUAGGCCUAACACAUGCAAGUCGAACGGCAGCACAGUAAGAGCUUGCUCUUACGGGUGGCGAGUGGCGGACGGGUGAGGAAUACAUCGGAAUCUACUUUUUCGUGGGGGAUAACGUAGGGAAACUUACGCUAAUACCGCAUACGACCUACGGGUGAAAGCAGGGGAUCUUCGGCCCUUGCGCGAUUGAAUGAGCCGAUGUCGGAUUAGUUAGUUGGCGGGGUAAAGGCCCACCAAGGCGACGAUCCGUAGCUGGUCUGAGAGGAUGAUCAGCCACACUGGAACUGAGACACGGUCCAGACUCCUACGGGAGGCAGCAGUGGGGAAUAUUGGACAAUGGGCGCAAGCCUGAUCCAGCCAUACCGCGUGGGUGAAGAAGGCCUUCGGGUUGUAAAGCACUUUUGUUGGGAAAGAAAAGAAGCAGGUUAAUACCCCGCUGUUCUGACGGUACCCAAAGAAUAAGCACCGGCUAACUUCGUG
rnacentral:rRNA from 1 species